CAUUUUUUAGACAUUUCUUUGGCUUCAGUCGCACCGAAUUUCUUUAGGUUUCUGAUAGGGUUCCUCUCCCUUUGCCACGUAGUUGAAGUUCAGCCGUCUCUUUCUUUGUUUAGGCAUUUUUACACUUUCAAGCGCCACCCCUCGGCCAAGGAUUGGUGGUACUUCUCCCCCCAGUUUGACAAGAAGGGGUUACUGAAGGGUGCUCCCUCUUCGAUCCACAAUUGGAAGGGAAAGUACCUCUACGUCCAGUGCCCGACCUUGAAGCUGGGACUGCCCCCUUGGGGCUCCCUGAGG
rnacentral:lncRNA from 1 species